CACCACCAGGAGUGGAGCCUGCGGCUUAAUUUGACUCAACACGGGAAAUCUCACCAGGCCCGGACACCGGAAGGAUUGACAGAUUAACAGCUCUUUCUUGAUUCGGUGGGUGGUGGUGCAUGGCCGUUCUUAGUUGGUGGAGCGAUUUGUCUGGUUAAUUCCGGUAACGAACGAGACUCUAGCCUGCUAAAUAGGCGUCGUCAUUUAGGUGUGCGUGGCUCCGUCACGCAACUCACUGGCGACGUAUUAAAAUUCUUCUUAGAGGGACCGGCGGCUUCGAGCCGCACGAGAUUGAGCAAUAACAGGUCUGUGAUGCCCUUAGAUGUCCUGGGCCGCACGCGCGCUACACUGAAGGAAUCAGCAUGUUCUCCCUGGCCUAGAGGCCCGGGCAACCCGCUGAAACUCCUUCGUGCUGGGGAUUGGGGUUUGCAAUUAUCCCCCAUAAACGAGGAAUUCCUAGUAAGCGCGAGUCAUAAGCUCGCGUUGAUUACGUCCCUGCCCUUUGUACACACCGCCCGUCGCUACUACCGAUUGAAUGAUUUAGUGAGGUCUUCGGACCGACACGCGGUGGCUUCGCGGCCGUCGGCGUUGCUGGGAAGUUGACCAAACUUGAUCAUUUAGAGGAAGUAAAAGUCGUA
rnacentral:rRNA from 1 species